rnacentral:tRNA from 1 species
GCGGGGGUUGCCAAGCCAGGUCAAAGGCGUGAGGCUCAGAACCUCAUCCCUCAGGGGUUCAUGGGUUCAAAUCCCAUCCCCCGCA